GUGAUAGUGAUUGAGCUGCAUUUGCACCUGCACCUACCAAGGAAUGGUCUACAUUCACCUUGCAUAUGAUGCAUGUAAGAGCAAGGAUGUCCUUGACCCUCUCGCUCUUCCUAGGUGAGUAGGUGCAGUGGCAGAUGCAGCUCAAUCACAAGCAC